UGCCAGACUCCUACGGGAGGCAGCAGUGGGGAAUAUUGCACAAUGGGGGAAACCCUGAUGCAGCGACGCCGCGUGAGCGAUGAAGUAUUUCGGUAUGUAAAGCUCUCUCAGCAGGGAAGAAGAUGACGGUACCUGACUAAGAAGCCCCGGCUAACUACGUGCCAGCAGCCGCGGUAAUACGUAGGGGGCAAGCGUUAUCCGGAUUUACUGGGUGUAAAGGGAGCGUAGACGGCGAUGCAAGCCAGAUGUGAAAGCUCGGGGCUCAACCCCGGGACUGCAUUUGGAACUGUGUGGCUGGAGUGUCGGAGAGGCAGGCGGAAUUCCUAGUGUAGCGGUGAAAUGCGUAGAUAUUAGGAGGAACACCAGUGGCGAAGGCGACCUGCUGGACGAUGACUGACGUUGGGGCUCGAAAGCGUGGGGAGCAAACAGGAUUAGAUACCCCCGUAC
rnacentral:rRNA from 1 species